CUCCAGUGUAGAAUUUCUUUCUCCAGCUGCUGCGCGAUGAUGCCCUGUUUCUGAUAUUAGGUGAAUGGCCUGAAAAUGAGAUGGGUGGAUAGGAGGAGGGGCUCAAAAAACAUCCAUAGCCGAUAGGCGAGCCCAACAAUGCAAUCUGACCAAGUUUAUAAACAUUUAUUACAAGUGUUUCCUUCUUUAUUUUGGUUUGUAUAUUUGUUAAAAAGUUUUUGAUUGCUGGUUUACAAAAAUAAAGUGAUGCAUGUCCCUUUAAGAAAGGUCAUUUAGCAUACAAUUCAGAACCUCAAGGAUGCAAGACAAGAUG